rnacentral:tRNA from 1 species
AGAAAUUUAGGUUAACUAAACCAAUGGCCUUCAAAGCCCUCAUACGAGCACGCCCUCUUAAUUUCUG